UUUCGUUUUAGUCGUGUCAGACAAGUUGUCAAGCUAAUUAAUUUUGUGAAAUCCAUAUAUUACGUAUACGCGUAGCUAUUUAAAUUCGUUGCAGCUAUGCGUUUUAAACGAAAACUAGAAUCAACAUGAAAUUGAUACUUCUCGCUGCUGUGCUCGGUGUCUUGGCAUCAGGCAGCUUUGUUGUUGCUCAAAACAGUGAUGGAGACGGCGGAGUCGGUAGAAAGCUGGAUGGUAUCUUAGAUUGAAGAUCAAUCGGCUAAAGCUGAUUUUUUAAAUAUAAAAUGUAUUUAAAUUAAAAUACCAUUUUGAAAAUAGACAUGAACCUACAUAUUAACUAAAA